CGUUAAAGCUUAAUUAUAUACCCAAUAAAUCCCCCAACCAAAUUAAAACCCUACCACAAUACUGAAUAAUUCCAUACGUCUAUGGAAAAUAUAAUGUUAAAACUAGUAACAUGAAGUUAAAACCUCUCUUAAAUGUAAAUGUAAGUCAGAAUGGAACACACACUGACAAUUAACAACCUAAACUAAAGUAAUAAAUACUCAAGAAAACCAUACUAUUCCGCCUGUUAACCUAACACAAGAACAUUUAAAGAAAGACUUAAAGAAAAAGAAGGAACUCGGCAAAACUGAUUCCGCCUGUUUACCAAAAACAUCGCCUCCUGAUUCCAACUAUAGAAGGUCCCGCCUGCCCAGUGACUCUGUUUAACGGCCGCGGUAUUCUAACCGUGCGAAGGUAGCGUAAUCACCUGUUUUUUAAUUAAUAAUUAAAGACCUGUAUGAAAGGCAUCACGAGAAUCACACUGUCUCCUUUCUCAAGUCAGUGAAACUAAUCUCCUCGUGAAAAAGCGAGGAUGACACUACAAGACGAGAAGACCCUUUGGAGCUUAAGACAAAAUAAAUACCUGCUAACUCCUGCCCCCCAACACCACACAGCACCCUAUUUAUAAGUCUUGGGUUGGGGCAACCACGGAGUAAAAACAAACCUCCGGGCUGAACGGAAAUUUCCUAAACAAAGAGCAACAGCUCUAUGUAUCAAAAAACUGACAAUUUGACCCAGUAUAUCUGAUUAACGAACCAAGUUACCCCAGGGAUAACAGCGCAAUCCACUUAAAGAGUUCAUAUCGAAAAGUGGGCUUACGACCUCG
rnacentral:rRNA from 1 species